ensembl:lncRNA
GUUCCCUUUAGGGAAGUAAAAGCAGAGCAGCGGCUCUUUGGUGGUUGUUUACGAAGCACAAACUAAAAACCGUAAACUCAAAAGCCCCAGAGGCCCAGAGAUCACGACGAGGGGGUCGGAGUUCAUCUUCUUCAUUCGUCCAAACCUCCUUCAUGUCCACUUGUGUUGGUUAAGGAGGAACCGGACAGCACGCUGCUCUCCUUCAAGCGGAGUGAUGAUGACGACUGUGCUCUGUGAUGCGAUGCCAGCUGGCCGAAACCUUCCUCUUCCUGGGCACAGGAGUCCAACGACGGAUUUCACAUAAAAGGAAUUUCCUGAUUUUGACUGUAAAGAAAGCCAAAUAAGAUGCUUUUGUUUUUUCUAAUGCCAGUUAUUAUUAAAUUCAGUUAUUUUGGAACGGGCCACGUUGUCUCUGCACCUCAUUUGUCUUUCUUCUAAAAAAAAAAAUCUUACAGAUUCUACACCAAGUAGCUUUCCGUUCUCACAAAGCCCUUAUACAGUUUACAGGAAACAUUUGGGUAUUCUUCUUAGUAUUUUUUUAAACAGUACGUUUUACUGUUUUCAAAAGCAAACUGUUUCAUUGCCGGUGUUAUUAUUCUUAUUCCACCAGAGCCACAGUGCAACUAAAUGGCA